CGCAGCUAUCAUGCAGUCGAGGGGCAGCGCAGUGUAGCAAUACAUGGGCGGCGACCGGCAAACGGGUGCGGAACACGUACGCAACCUUCCUUCAAGCGGGGCAUAGCUUUCGGAAACAAAAAUUAAUACCCCAUAGUAAUGUCUGAUGGCAUCUGAUGACAUUUAAAGAUUUAUCACUUGAAGAUGGGCGUGCGCCUGAUUAGGUAGUUGGCGGGGUAACGGCCCACCAAGCCUACGAUCAGUAACUGGUGUGAGAGCACGACCAGUCACACGGGCACUGAGACACGGGCCCGACUCCUACGGGAGGCAGCAGUAAGGAAUAUUGGUCAAUGGACGCAAGUCUGAACCAGCCAUGCCGCGUGGAGGAUGAAGGUCCUCUGGAUUGUAAACUUCUUUUAUCGGAGAAGAAACCCCAGAAUUCUUUUAGGGUUGACGGUACCCGAUGAAUAAGCACCGGCUAACUCCGUGCCAGCAGCCGCGGUAAUACGGAGGGUGCUACCGUUAUCCCGAUUCACUGCGUUUAAAAGGAGCCUAAGUGGGCUGGUAAGUCCGUUCUUAAAUCUUCCUGGGAAAACCCUCAUACUCUCAUUGAACGAUCA
rnacentral:rRNA from 1 species